AUUGAACGCUGGCGGCAGGCCUAACACAUGCAAGUCGAACGGUAGCACAGAGAGCUUGCUCUCGGGUGACGAGUGGCGGACGGGUGAGUAAUGUCUGGGAAACUGCCCGAUGGAGGGGGAUAACUACUGGAAACGGUAGCUAAUACCGCAUAACGUCGCAAGACCAAAGUGGGGGACCUUCGGGCCUCACACCAUCGGAUGUGCCCAGAUGGGAUUAGCUAGUAGGUGGGGUAAUGGCUCACCUAGGCGACGAUCCCUAGCUGGUCUGAGAGGAUGACCAGCCACACUGGAACUGAGGCACGGUCCAGACUCCUACGGGAGGCAGCAGUGAGGAAUAUUGCACAAUGGGAGCAAGCCUGAUGCAGCCAUGCCGCGUGUAUGAAGAAGGCCUUCGGGUUGUAAAGUACUUUCAGCGGGGAGGAAGGCGGUGAAGUUAAUAACUUCACCGAUUGACGUUACCCGCAGAAGAAGCACCGGCUAACUCCGUGCCAGCAGCCGCCGCCG
rnacentral:rRNA from 1 species